rnacentral:rRNA from 1 species
UACGUAGGUGGCAAGCGUUGUCCGGAUUUAUUGGGUUUAAAGGGUGCGUAGGCGGUUCUAUAAGUCAGUGGUGAAAUCCGGCAGCUCAACUGUCGAUGUGCCAUUGAUACUGCAGAACUUGAGUACAGACGAGGUAGGCGGAAUUGACGGUGUAGCGGUGAAAUGCUUAGAUAUCGUCAAGAACACCGAUAGCGAAGGCAGCUUACUAGACUGUAACUGACGCUGAUGCACGAAAGCGUGGGGAGCAAACAGG